UACGAAGGGGCUAGCGUUGCUCGGAAUCACUGGGCGUAAAGCGCACGUAGGCGGAUUGUUAAGUCAGGGGUGAAAUCCUGGAGCUCAACUCCAGAACUGCCUUUGAUACUGGCGAUCUCGAGUCCGGGAGAGGUGAGUGGAACUGCGAGUGUAGAGGUGAAAUUCGUAGAUAUUCGCAAGAACACCAGUGGCGAAGGCGGCUCACUGGCCCGGUACUGACGCUGAGACGCGAAAGCGUGGGGAGCGAAC
rnacentral:rRNA from 1 species